UACGAAGGGGGCUAGCGUUGCUCGGAAUCACUGGGCGUAAAGCGCACGUAGGCGGUAUUGUUAAGUCAGGGGUGAAAUCCUGGAGCUCGAACUCCAGAACUGCCUUUGAUACUGGCGAUCUCGAAGUCCGGGAGAGGUGAGUGGAACUGCGAGUGUAGAGGUGAAAUUCGUAGAUAUUCGCAAGAACACCGAGUGGCGAAG
rnacentral:rRNA from 1 species